AGGAGCUCGGUGCAGGAGAGCGCGCCGUGGUCAGAGCCCGGGUGUCACUGUCACGGCCCCUGUGGAGGGCAAGGGCAGAGGAGCUCACAGCUUUAGCUUAAAUGACAGUUCCAGCAGCAUAGAAUUAUUAAUUAGGAAUUCUCAAUCUGUCAACAUCUAUACUCAAGUGGAAAUACGUGAUCCAAACCUGAGCAAACUGACUGCAGACAUUUUUGUCAACCUUAUAGGCUUUGAUUCAGAAUCUGUGAUACAAGAGAAUACGCCGUGCAGGACAGGGGUGUAAUUCCAUCAAGGACUUCUGGUGACCUCAUAAACCAUGAGAGCUGGCAUGGACUUUAAUGGGCACCACGUGGUUAAGUUCCCAUGCAUCAUUUUGAAAAUGUAGGGCCUCAUUUGAUAUUGCAGAAGGAUACCAGACCUACCAUGUCAAAUUGUUUCUCUUUCUUCUAAAGGAGCCACCCGCUUUAUGUUACAGUCAGUCCUCUUUGGUAGCAAAUGAAAUAUGCCAUUCUGGAAAAUUAGUAUUUUCUCUGGCAGAAUGAACAUAGAAAAUCACAUAGUUGGGUUAUAUUCUUUUAAAUAAACUUUUUAAAAUGAUGGCAGUAAAUUCAAGUAAAGGUGUGGUUUGUGCAGGACUGUCUUUGCUUGCAGAUUUCUAAAAGAUAUUUAAAAAAAUUGAUUUGCACAUCAGUUAGAAAAUAUAGGAAUAUAAUUGUUAUGGGUCAUUUGAAAAAGUAGACCAUGUUAAACCCAGCUUAAGUAAAACUAAGUAAGUUAGCUCAAAUUUCUGAUGGUGAAUGACCUAAGUUAAAAGCUCACCUAAAGCAAUUUAGCUGUAUUUAAUACACCAGUUCUAUGAUUCUGGGAAUUUCUAGGGGUUCAAUAAGGUUGAAGUUUUGAUUGGUGAAAUUUGUUCUAUUACCUUUGUACAUGACUUGUAGAUUUUCUCUUGCCUUCUCUCAACCUAGAUUUCACCUGCUGAAACCAGUGUUCAGCCGUUGUGCAAACCUAUACAAAGUUGAUGGUUAUCAGCCUAAAAAUAAGGUCAUCCAGUGUGGCUAUGAUUCAGCUCUAGGUAACAAAUCAUCUUGAUAGUAAAGGGGGGAAGGACACCUUCUAGACAGAAUAUCCAAAAAUUACUUGCUCUGGCCUUUCUGCCACCUUAGUGUGAAGCACCUGCUGUUUGUCAUUCUCUGGGAUAACUUUUGAACUACAUGCAUCACUGCUUCCUAUGCUGCAUUGCAGUGAGAGGUACAUUUUUUCACCAUGUGCAUGGUUUAUCCAUAUACAGCAUGAUGAAUACACACCUUUUAUAUAUUCCAUGUCCUAGACCAUAGAAUAAUUGCAUUUAUUAAGUUAAUUUAAAUCUCAUCUUAAAGAACUGCAAAUGUCAAUGUAUGGGAGAAGGUUGGUUCUCUGGUCGUGGUAUCAUAGUACAGUAUAUGUAGAUUUGAUACAAGAAGUUCCCUUUUAAUGACACUCAGAAUUAUUCCAGUUGUAGUCUCAUAGCUGAGAUAGUUAAUAAAUUACAAGCAUAUGGAAGAGUGUAACAGCCUUGGGAUGCAAGUUGUACUGUACUAGGUUAGAUAGUUUGUACAGGAGGAGGAUCCCUAAGGCUUGUUGAAUAAACAGAUGCAUCUUCUCUGUACUCCAUGAAAAAUGAUGUAUGUUUUUGGUUUGUUUGUACUACUUUCUCCACAUGAAACGUGUGUUUGGUCCAACAAUUCUGUGGUUUCCUCACUUUGUGAUAAUAAUUAACACCCUCACUGAAGUCUAAGCAGUGAUGACAUUUGUUUAGGGGCCUGACUCUGAUUUUUGUUGCUGUUUUGCCUUAUGUUACUUUCAAUAUGCAAUUGAAACCAUUUUUGAGAAUUGAAAGGUUUAGUGAUUGUUGUUUUCUUGGUCUUACUGACCAUUUAGAAACUUUCAUGCAAUAUAUCCUUCAGCCUUUGUGGAAACACUGCCUCUCCAGCCAUAUGGGUCUGGGUUGAUAGUAGCAAGCUCAAAAUAAAGCCAGCAAUGCAGGGGUCUAAAGUUUUUGCCUUUUUUUUUUUUCCCCAGAAGAAACAGAGAAAUGGAUAUAAGCAGUAAAAAAGUAAAACAGUCAUAAAGUAACUAUUGUUUAGGAGGUAAAUGUGUUAGGAGACAAAAAAAGAAAGAGUAUAUUAAACCCCACUUAAAAGAUUCCUGAAGCUUUGGGGAAAAUUAAUUUUAAGAAAUAUGACAAUGGUUCUCUACUCUUCCCAAUAAUCUUAUAAAAAAGAUUGAUAGCUUUGGAGUAGAUGUACAUAUUUUGAACUUCCUUUCUGGACAGAGCACAAAGAAAACCUGGCUUGUUUGUGGUUGUAGAAGAAUCGUAGGUGGCUUUGUAUAAGAAAGGCAGGUUGGAUGUCAGGGACAUCCAAGCCUCCUUCUCUUUCCGUGUUCUUUUUUGUCCAUAAUAACUUUUUUCAAUAUGUUGUCAUUUUUUUGCUGAUUUUCCUAAAUAAAGAGAAAUGUCAAAUCAGCAGAGAAUUGAAAUGUAUUUAUAAAAAAAAUCCAACCAAAAGGGCAUCUGAUGUUUUACAGACAUUCCAACACCUUCAGGAAAUUUGAACUCACACCAAAGGGUCUGAUAUUCAUUUGAAUCUCCAUCUGUGCUGAAGCACAUGUGUGCACACAACACACAUUGAACCACUACAGGGGAAAAAAAAAUCCCUGCUCUUAAAUUAUAGCUGCUCUCUACAAUUCCUCUGUAACCACAAAGGCUUUGGUAGUUUUGAGACGUUGCAGUGGCUUCGGGUGAUCUGAUCACAGAGCU